rnacentral:ncRNA from 2 species
CAUGGGAGUAGAAGCGGUCAGUGCCUGGAAAUGGCAUGGGACAUUGCUCUGGCG